CCUACGGGAGGCAGCAGUGAGGAAUAUUGGUCAAUGGACGCGAGUCUGAACCAGCCAAGUAGCGUGAAGGAUGACUGCCCUACGGGUUGUAAACUUCUUUUAUAUAGGAAUAAAAUGUUCCACGUGUGGGUUUUUGUAUGUACCAUAUGAAUAAGGAUCGGCUAACUCCGUGCCAGCAGCCGCGGUAAUACGGAGGAUCCGAGCGUUAUCCGGAUUUAUUGGGUUUAAAGGGAGCGUAGGUGGGUUGUUAAGUCAGUUGUGAAAGUUUGCGGCUCAACCGUAAAAUUGCAGUUGAAACUGGCAGUCUUGAGUACAGUAGAGGUGGGCGGAAUUCGUGGUGUAGCGGUGAAAUGCUUAGAUAUCACGAAGAACUCCGAUUGCGAAGGCAGCUCACUGGACUGCAACUGACACUGAGGCUCGAAAGUGUGGGUAUCAAACAGGAUUAGAUACCCCAGUAGUC
rnacentral:rRNA from 1 species